rnacentral:rRNA from 1 species
AUCCUAGAAAAUCUUCGUAGUCCGGAUUGGAGUCUGCAACUCGACUCCAUGAGGUCGGAAUCGCUAGUAAUCGCGAAUCAGCAUGUCGCGGUGAAUACGUUCUCGGGUCUUGUACACACCGCCCGUCAUACCAUGGAAGUGGAUUGCACCAGAAGUAGAUAGUCUAACCUUAGGGAGGGCGUUUACCACGGUGUGCUUCAUGACUGGGGUAAAGUCGUAACAAGGUAGCCGUAGGGGAACCUGUGGCUGGAUCACCUCCUU